rnacentral:rRNA from 1 species
UACGUAGGCAGCAAGCGUUGUUCGGAAUUACUGGGCGUAAAGAGUGUGUAGGCGGUUCUCUAAGUUCGGUGUGAAAUCUCCCGGCUCAACUGGGAGGGUGCGCCGAAAACUGGAGUGCUGGAGCGCGGGAGAGGAAAGCGGAAUUCCUGGUGUAGCGGUGAAAUGCGUAGAUAUCAGGAGGAACACCGGCGGUGUAGACGGCUUUCUGGACCGUAGCUGACGCUGAGACACGAAAGCGUGGGUAGCAAACAGG